rnacentral:rRNA from 1 species
GGAAUCUUCCACAAUGGGCGCAAGCCUGAUGGAGCAACACCGCGUGAGUGAAGAAGGGUUUCGGCCCGUAAAGCUCUGUUGUUAAAGAAGAACACGUAUGAGAGUAACUGUUCAUACGUUGACGGUAUUUAACCAGAAAGUCACGGCUAACUACGUACCAG